CCUUGCUCUCUCUUGGCUCACUCCCGGUGGGAAGCCAGCAGCCAUAUUGUGACGACACUCAAACAGCUCUAUGCACACGGUGACACGGCAAAAAACCGAGGUCUCCUGCCAACAGCCAUGAAAGAGUGUUUGGGAAGUGGAUCCAACAGCCCCACUCGAGCCUUCAGAUGACUGCAGUCCCAGCUGGAAGACUGACUAGCUCAGGAGAGUCCUUGCAUGAGAACCAGCAAAACUAAGCUUCUCCUGAAUUCCUGGCCCACAGAAAUUAUGGGCAGGCAGACCAAAAGGAGGAGCCUUGAUUCAUCAGACCAUGGACAUGGGGCCUUGAACAGUAUUUAUUUACCAGACAGUGUUCUGUGGAAGACCAGUGUCCUGCAAAAGGUUUAAAGAAGAACACCUUUUCCCUAAGCCAGCCAGACCUGACACAGUAGUUUUCUUGGGAACAACUUAUAAAUCCAACAAAAGGCAGAAAAACGCCCCUAUGGAGGCUACGGCACAAUGAGGCACGAGCUCCAGAGGUCCUCAAGCUACCACGGAGCUUCUUAGUCUCUGGCUAACAUGCACAGUGGCCCACGGGGCUGGGGAGCCUCACAAAAGCCACUCAGAAUUCACCCUUGUUCCUUGCAACACUAGAGUGAAAGGUUAAGAACACAGACAUCAGAGCCAGGAGGAAGGGCUCCGUUCAGAUCUUGACGCUGCCUCUUCCUGUGUGAUCUGGUUACUCCAUCACACCGGACCUGGGUUCCGCCAGUUGGACAAAUGGGGAUAAGAGCAUCUACAGUACUGAGAUGAUUAGAUGAAUGCAUGACAUGUAGUUAACAUACUUCUUGAGAUGUAGCAGGCAUGAUGUAAGCGUUGGCUAUUAGCUUUAAUUUUUUUGAGUGUUUAUGAAACAUUAAAUGUGCUCUGCCCUCACAGGGCCAGCCAGGCUGAUUUUUUAAAUCAUAAAAAUACAUUAUAAAAUUAUAAA